AAAGGAAUUGACGGGGACCCGCACAAGCAGUGGAGUAUGUGGUUUAAUUCGAAGCAACGCGAAGAACCUUACCAGGGCUUGACAUCUACUGAAUCCGCCCGAGAGGGUGGAGUGCCUACGGGAGCAGUAAGACAGGUGGUGCAUGGUUGUCGUCAGCUCGUGUCGUGAGAUGUUGGGUUAAGUCCCGCAACGAGCGCAACCCUUAUCGUUAGUUGCCAUCAUUAAGUUGGGCACUCUAGCGAGACUGCCGUUGACAAAACGGAGGAAGGUGGGGACGACGUCAAAUCAUCAUGCCCCUAAUGUCCUGGGCUACACACGUACUACAAUGGCUGUUAACAGAGGGAAGCGAAGCUGUGAAGUGGAGCAAAUCCCCAAAAGCAGUCUCAGUUCGGAUUGCAGGCUGAAACUCGCCUGUAUGAAGUCGGAAUUGCUAGUAAUCGCGAAUCAUCAUGUCGCGGUGAAUACGUUCCCGGGUCUUGUACACACCGCCCGU
rnacentral:rRNA from 1 species